rnacentral:lncRNA from 11 species
CAGCUGUCGACUGAUUACGAUCUCUUACAUUUGUUUACAGAGAACAUUAAAUUUAGGUGGCUAUUAAAUAAGCUGGGCCCGUGCGGUGAUGCAGUUAUGGCGCGUUUGCCCGCAAGACUUACGGACGCGUCAUGGACUAGGUUCGAGACCGACAAACUCUGUCUCAUGAUGGAAGCCAGCCGUCCGAAGCAGCAAUGAAUGAAAGACUGGAUAAUAUUUAAGUAGACGCGGCGGCUCUUACAUAUCGAAUGACUUCUCUAGACAAAUCCGUGUAGGAAACACGUGGCGCUUCGAUUGAGGAGAACAGCUUGCGCCUUGCUAGCUGAAUUCUCGCAAAGUUAAAAAGUUUAAAAAAAAAUGAAGAAAUGAAAAACACCUACAUUCAGAUGGAGAAAAGAACGUCCACAUUGCCGGCUCUCUAGAGCCGAGCACAACGAUGACCUCUGGAAGCUCUGAACAUAUUAUAAUGAUUUCAUCCAUAAAUCGUUUUGUAUAUACGAAGCUCACCGUAUUGCCUAAAGGUUCGUACAGGUCGCAAGCGGUCCGCAUGAAUAAUGUACUCAGAAUGGUCAACUGGAUUGCCAUAAUGUGUAUGCACCUGAAGGGUAGUGCAUAGUAGUUGGAACAGCAACAAUGAGAAAAGUCACCUCCGACUUACUCAGCGAUGAUUAUCGCUAG